rnacentral:rRNA from 1 species
ACCGUACUCCUACGGGAGGCAGCAGUGGGGAGUUUUGGACAAUGGGGGCAACCCUGAUCCAGCAAUGCCGCGUGAGUGAAGAAGGCCUUCGGGUUGUAAAGCUCUUUUGUCAGGGAAGAAACGGUAGUAGCUAAUAUCUAUUACUAAUGACGGUACCUGAAGAAUAAGCACCGGCUAACUACGUGCCAGCAGCCGCGGUAAUACGUAGGGUGCAAGCGUUAAUCGGAAUUACUGGGCGUAAAGCGUGCGCAGGCGGUUGCGUAAGUCAGAUGUGAAAUCCCCGGGCUCAACCUGGGAAUUGCAUUUGAGACUGCACGGCUAGGGUGUGUCAGAGGGGGGUAGAAUUCCACGUGUAGCAGUGAAAUGCGUAGAUAUGUGGAGGAAUACCGAUGGCGAAGGCAGCCCCCUGGGAUAACACUGACGCUCAUGCACGAAAGCGUGGGGAGCAAACAGGAUUAGAUACCCCUGUAGUCCUUGAC